GAUGAACGCUGGCGACGUGCCUAAUACAUGCAAGUAGAACGCUGAAGCUUGGUGCUUGCACCGAGCGGAUGAGUUGCGAACGGGUGAGUAACGCGUAGGUAACCUGCCUCUUAGCGGGGGAUAACUAUUGGAAACGAUAGCUAAUACCGCAUAAAAGUCGAUAUCGCAUGAUAUUGAUUUGAAAGGUGCAAUUGCAUCACUAAGAGAUGGACCUGCGUUGUAUUAGCUAGUUGGUGAGGUAACGGCUCACCAAGGCGAGGAUACAUAGCCGACCUGAGAGGGUGCUCGGCCACCCUGGGACUGUGACACGGCCCAGACUCCUACGGGAGGCAGCCGUAGGGCAUCUUCGGCCAUGGGGGCAACCCUGACCGAGCAACGCCGCGUGAGUGAAGAAGGUUUUCGGGUCGUAAAGCUCUGUUGUAAGAGAAGAACGAGUGUGAGAGUGGAAAGUUCACACUGUGACGGUAACUUACCAGAAAGGGACGGCUAACUACGUG
rnacentral:rRNA from 1 species